GUGGGGAAUUUUGGACAAUGGGCGCAAGCCUGAUCCAGCAAUGCCGCGUGCAGGAAGAAGGCCUUCGGGUUGUAAACUGCUUUUGUACGGAACGAAACGGUCCUGGUUAAUACCUGGGGCUAAUGACGGUAGCCAAGAAGGAAGCCCCGGCUAACUACGUGCCAGCAGCCGCGGUAAUACGUAGGGGGCAAGCGUUGUCCGGAAUGAUUGGGCGUAAAGGGCGCGUAGGCGGCCUGGUAAGUCUGGAGUGAAAGUCCUGCUUUUAAGGUGGGAAUUGCUUUGGAUACUGUCGGGCUUGAGUGCAGGAGAGGUAAGCGGAAUUCCCGGUGUAGCGGUGAAAUGCGUAGAGAUCGGGAGGAACACCAGUGGCGAAGGCGGCUUACUGGACUGUAACUGACGCUGAGGCGCGAAAGUGUGGGGAGCAAACAGGAUUAGAAACCCGGGUAGUCC
rnacentral:rRNA from 1 species